rnacentral:tRNA from 1 species
ACCUGGAUGGCUCAGUCGGUUGAGCAUCUGACUUCGGCUCAGGUCAUGAUCUCACGGUUCGUGGGUUCGAGCCCCAGGUCAGGCU